UCUCCGUUGGUGAACCAGCGGAGGGAUCAUUACCGAGUUAUCAACUCCCAAACCCCUGUGAACAUACCCAACGUUGCUUCGGCGGGACCGCCCCGGCGCCCUCGGCGUCCCGGAACCAGGCGCCCGCCGGAGGUCCCAAACUCUUGUUUAAACCAUAGUGGCAUAUUCUGAGUCUCACAAGAAAAAUGAAUCAAAACUUUCAACAACGGAUCUCUUGGCUCUG
rnacentral:misc_RNA from 1 species